CUGCAACCGCUUGGCCCCACUCCGCCCCGCUGGCUCAGUUUGGCCCAGCCGUCAGCUGGUGGGCCUGCCCGGGGAGGUCCUCUUCACCCUGUCCUGGUGGCUGGUGUCACUGGAUCUGGUGCUGUGCCAGUUCUGGCUCUUCCCAAAGUCAAAAUGACCAGGAAAGGUAUGGCCCAUCUCCUGUACACUUGGAGCAACCUUUGGCUACGUGGCUGGCCUUGUUAUUUCACCACUCUGGAUAUACUGGAAUAGAAAGCAACUUACAAACAAGAACAAUUAACUGGAGCAAAGGGAGAAGAUAUUUCUUUGUGCAGACUCUGUAAGGGCUGUGCAGAAGUGUAUAUGGUCAAAGCCAAGCAGUUCCAUUUACAGCACUGUUGUUUUUUUUUUAAUGUAGUUUCAACAUGAUGUGAUUGUAGCUUUUUGAACUAUGAAAACCCUGAGAGAUUGUACCUUCUAGUUGAAAUAAAGUAUUUAUAACAGAUUGUGGCUUCAGAUUCUGUUUGCUGCUUCUUAGACCUUUAAGGAACAUUCUUAAUGAACUUCAUAGAAUUCUGAGGACAGGUUUUUGUUUUCUUUCAAGUUUGAAACUGCUUCAUUAUCAGAGGUCUGGGUAUCGCUGUAGCAUUUCAUAAGCUUUCUGAGAGAAAUUGACAGUUUUCUUGGCCACUGAAGUUUUUCACGUAAUCAAACAACAGUUUAUACAUCUUGAUCCUAUUCUUUUUUUAACUGUAUGUUUCUUUGGAGUUAAAAUGGCUAUGAUAGCCUCAUCAAAAACAAUCUUCAAUCCCUUCUGGGUUAAAGCUGAACAUUCCACAUAGCAGCAUGCUCCUAUCUCUUUUGCUAGUUUCUGUCCUUGUUCCACACAUAUAGGUUUUUCUUUCAUAUCAUUCAGUCUCGCUGAAGUUUUGGGGUCAUCCCGGAGAUCAAUCUGCGUUCCUAUUAAUAAAAAGGGUACAUUUGGGGCAUAUUCCUUAAGUUCCGGUACCCACUCUUCUUUCACAUUUUGAAAUGAGGCUGGAUUGACCACGGAGAAGCAUAUGAGGAAGACAUCAGUCAUUGGAUAGGAUAAAGGCCUCAGAUGAUCAUAGUCUUCCUGCCCCGCCGUGUCUUAGAGUCCCAGGAGGUACUGCUUGGCCCCCACAGUGACGCUGACGGCGUAGUGGUCGAAGACGGUGGGCACGUACUCCUCGGGGAAGGCGUCGUUGGCGUAGCUCAUGAGCAGGCACGUCUUGCCCACCGCGCCGUCGCCCACCACCACGCACUUGAGCAUCAGCGCGCCGGGCUUGUGAGCCAUGUUGCGGCCGGCGGCCUCCGGGCAUGGUCCCCGCGCGCCCCCGCGCCGGCCGGGCUCAGCCCCAGCGCGCCUGGGGGGG
rnacentral:lncRNA from 1 species